rnacentral:lncRNA from 1 species
AAAAUUUCUGACCUUUUGAUACUAAAAUACCUAUAAGUCCCUGUUGGAAAUUCUGAUUUGUACCAAACUAACUUCGUCCGAAACUAGACUUAUAGACCUUUCUUUUGACAUAUAGUUUGAAAAUUUUGGAAUUCAAAUGCCUACUCUAUUAUCUGUUGAAUCCGACCCUAUGAAUUCUGCAAAACAGUGAUUGUGUUUUUGACCUUGUGUUACCAAAUCAAAGGUAACUCCUUGUUGGAAACCAUGAUUCGUACGAAAC